rnacentral:lncRNA from 1 species
GCACAAGACAAGUAUACACAAUCCAUCUCUAUUUAUUAAACAUUUUUAAUAGCAGAAACAUAGGAGAAUAAACUAGUAUUUUCUUGUGUAUAACAUACAUCAAUUAAUUUUUGUGACAAAACAGAGAAGAAACUAACAUAUUCUUCACAUACAACACAAACAACGAAAAAGGAAAUGAAAAAAAUAAUAAUUAUCAUAACAAUAAUAAUACUAACACCUUCUUUGUAAUAAGAUAAGCAAGGUGCAAACAAUUCAUCUGUUGGACUCUGGAUUUGCACCACUAGGAACUUCAUGAGCAGCCACCCCAUAUUGUUGACUCGCCGUCCUGGCCUCAUCGGCAUUGACCGUGAAAGCGGUCGCAGUUGUGGUUGUGGUCACGGUCGUGGUCGUGGUCGUGUCCGUAGCAGUACUGACAGUUCCCAUAUUGUUGACUCGCCGUACCGGUCCCACCGCCAUUGACGGUGAAAGCAGUUGCAGCUGUGGUCAUAGCCGUGGUCGUGGCCGUAGCAGUACUGACAGCUGAUUGCUUAGAAUGAACUUGCAUGGCUGAUUCCUUACUCGUUGGAGAAUUUUCUAGGUUAACUCUUCCAUUUGUUGCUAAGGAAAAAGCUUGAAAAUUGAUUGUGUUAGUAGUUGGAAUUAUCAAGAAUAGCCCAAGGAAGAGAAGAAGAAAGAGAGAUUGUGAUAGUGUUGUUUUUGCCAUGAAAAAAGUUGAAUAACAAAGAAAAAUAACCACCCCCCAAUAACCCUAGGGAGAUCAAUAUCCAUGAACCAAAUGAAACCGCCAAGAUGGAAAUGCUAAAGGACAAAGAAAUCCAAAAAAUAGAAAAAGGAAAAUUUUAUGUUAUUCUUACUAUGAGUAGAAACUUUAGCUUCUCAAUUUCAAACCAUAAAGUAAUGUUAUGACUAUCAAGAGCUACAAUGGUUUUCUCAUCAAAAUAGAUGGAUAUAAAUAUGGGAAAUCCUGUGAAACAUGACUUUCUCUUUCACUUUCCCAUUUUGCCCCUCUUUUUCUUUAUAUUAUUGGUAUCUUAAGCACCUCCCAUACACGUCAAUUAUCCACUGGGC